rnacentral:rRNA from 1 species
CAGCAGCCGCGGUAAUACGAAGGGGGCUAGCGUUGUUCGGAUUUACUGGGCGUAAAGCGCACGUAGGCGGAUCUUUAAGUCAGGGGUGAAAUGCCGGGGCUCAACCCCGGAACUGCCUUUGAUACUGGGGAUCUCGAGUCCGGGAGAGGUGAGCGGAACUGCGAGUGUAGAGGUGAAACUCGUAGAUAUUCGCAAGAACACCAGUGGCGAGGGCGGCUCACUGGCCCGGUACUGACGCUGAGGUGCGAAAGCGUGGGGAGCAAACAGGACUAGAUACCCUGCUACUCCACGCCCUAAACGAUGGAUGCUAGCCGCUAGGCAGCUUGCUGCCUAG